rnacentral:lncRNA from 1 species
UUUUAUCUUAUUUUGUUUUGAUGUGAUUUGAUUUGAUUUGAUUUUAUUUGAUUUGAUUGGAUUUGAUUUGAAUUGAUUUGAUUUGAUUUGAUUUGAUUUGAUUUGAUUUGAUUUUGUUUUAUUUUUUUUAUUUUAUUUUAUUUUUAUUUAAAAAAAAACAUAAAAUAAAAUAAAAUAAUAUCUUUCCAUAUUCUUCUCCUUAUUCUUCUUCACAUUCCUUCCCUCAUCCUUCUCCUUAUCUUUCCAUCUAUCUACCUCUCCAUCUUUCUAUUUAUUUUUCUUUUUAUCUUUUUAUUUUAUUUUUUUUAUUAUUAUUUAUUUAUUUUUUUUUUCCUUUUUCCUUUUAUCUUUUCUAAAAAAAAAACAAAAAUUAAAAUAAAAAUAAAAAUAAAAAUUAUCUUUUACUAUUUUUAUUUUUGGGCUAAUUCGGUGCUCUAGUGUAGUGUUCUUUAGUGUAUGCAGGAUAAAAAUUUUGGUACUAGGAGCACAAGAUCAUCAGGAGGCAGAUAAGGAAGGAGAAUUGGUUCACCAACACCCUAAUGUGAAAAGUGACAAACCCUAACCUGACACAUCAAUGAAAUUCAAAAUUAGGUUAUCGGUUGUCAAGACUAUUAAAGCAAGCAGAGCUCUUGAGAUUGAAGAUCCUUAGAGUUGGUGACAAGAAGAUUGUUGGUGUCAUGAAGGGAGGAAGAACGCCAACGUUAAAUUUCAACACCUACUGAUGGGUGUUUGGGUUUUACCGGGUCAAGCUAAUGACAUUAAAAGAGCGCUUGCUGGGAGGCAACCCAGUUUCUGAAUUUUUUUUCAAUUUCGUUUUGAUUUUAUUUUAUUUUAUUUUAGUGGAUUUUAUUUUAUUUUUUAUUUUAUUUUAUUUGAUUUUUUUAUUUUAUUUGAUUUUAUUUGAUUUGGUUUUAUUUUAUUUUAUUUUAAUUUCUUUAUUUAUUUUUUUUGGGUUAUGCAUUCCUUCUGAUGGCAGUGAUGAUAGCAUCUACCGAUGGAUGCUUCUACAACAUCUACUGAUGGAUGUUAGGUGAUAUGGCAUUUACUGAUGGAUGCCAAUGAAGAUUAGAAAGAUUAGCAUUUACUGAUGAAUGCUACCGGGAUAGCAUCUACUGGGGGAUGUUAGAAGAUAUAGGUAUCCACUGAAGGAUAUCCGGAAGGUACACCUACUGAUGGGUGGUGGAAGGUAGUGCACUUACUGACAAGUGCUAACCAGNNN